rnacentral:rRNA from 1 species
AUUGAACGCUGGCGGCAGGCCUAACACAUGCAAGUCGAACGAAUGGCGGACGGGUGAGUAAUGUCUGGGAACCUGCCUGAUGGAGGGGGAUAACUACUAGAAACGGUAGCUAAUACCGCCUACCAUCGGAUGUGCCCAGAUGGGAUUAGGUAGUAGUGGGGGGAAAGGCUCACCUAGGCGACGAUCCCUAGCUGGGCUGAGAGGAUGACCAGCAACACGGGAACUGAGACACGGUCCAGACUCCUACGGGAGGCAGCAGUGGGGAAUAUUGCACAAUGGGCGCAAGCCUGAUGCAGCCAUGCCGCGUGUAUGAAGAAGGCUUUCGGGUUGUAAAGUACUGUCAGCGGGGAGGCGUUACCCGCAGAAGAAGCACCGGCUAACUCCGUGCCAGCAGCCGCGGUAAUAC